rnacentral:rRNA from 1 species
UACGUAGGUGGUAAACUUUUUCGUAAAUUAAAGUUUAAAUUAAUCUUUAAAAGUGUUUAUGAUAGAAAUUUACUUGAGUAUAAUAGAGGACAAUAGAAUUCCAUCAAUAGGAGUAAAAUCUUAAAAUUAAUGGAGGAAUGCCAGAGGCGAAGGCGAUUGUCUGGGUUAUUACUGACACUGAGGUACGAAAGCGUAGGUAUCAAACG